rnacentral:rRNA from 1 species
GUAGGGAAUAUUGCGCAAUGGACGAAAGUCUGACGCAGCGACGCCGCGUGAGUGAUGAAGGCCUUAGGGUCGUAAAGCUCUGUUGAAUGGGAAGAAAAAAAUGACGGUACCAUUCGAGGAAGGACCGGCUACCUUCGUGCCAGCAGCCGCGGUAAUACGAGGGGUCCUAGCGUUGUUCGGAAUCAUUGGGCGUAAAGGGUGUGUAGGUGGCCAUGUAAGUCAGGUGUGAAAGCCCCGGGCUCAACCCGGGAAGUGCACUUGAUACUGCGUGGCUUGAGUACCGAAGAGGGUAGUGGAAUUCCAGGUGUAGUGGUGAAAUACGUAGAUAUCUGGAGGAACACCGGUGGCGAAGGCGGCUACCUGGUCGAGUACUGACACUGAGACACGAAAGCAUGGGGAUCAAACAGGAUUAGAAACCCUUGUAGUCC